rnacentral:misc_RNA from 1 species
UCCGCGGUCUCUGCCACACCUAUACACAUAUAUAUAUAUAUAUUUGCCGUUUGUGGCGCUGCUCUCCAUCGUGUUCUUUAUGACUCACACGAGCGAUGCCGAGUCACUGCUGCUUCGCUUCCUGGAGGUGGAGGAUGGGCUGCACCGGCCCACGGCUCGCCACCAAAGCUCCCCUCUACUGGUCCAGAUGAACUCUUCCGCCACCCCCGUUGAUGAGGCAGUGACGCUGAAUGGCCAUCAGGCCCGUCGCUCGUGCAGUGUUUCGGAGGCGCCGGCGCAAGCGACUGCUUGCUGCGAGAUGGCGACCCCGCCAUCUUUGCACCGUGAUCUGCGCCGCUCCAGCACCUCCAGCUCGUCCGGUAGCAGCGACACGCAAGAGGAAGCAGCGACACCACCUCGCCGCUCGAGCAGCAACCAACAUGUCAUCAACCCCACUACACUUGAAGACACAGUUGCGCGGCCGUCCGCGCCGCGCAACUCGAUUCCAGGUGCGUCACCGUCGCCGCCGCUGUCGCUGUCACAUCCAGUCGUGCAGUUUCUCACUAGCGUGCAACUGCAAGGCUACGCCGACCGCCUCAUGUGCGAUCUCGGCAUUCAGUCCCUCCCAGACUUGGUGAGGCGGAGCGCCACUUUGAAGGAUGUGGCUGCGCUGCUGGGGCCCUCUGCAUCGCUGCAGCAGCACAAUGAACUGCUGCGCGGUUUGCGACGGUGGGAGCGCGAAGAGGCGCGUCGUGCCAGAGCAGACGCUGCGAAGGAGCGACGGCGCGCACGGAAGGAGGACCGCUCCACCAACGGGGCGACUAAGGCGCUUGGCACGCAUAAAACUCCGUCACGCACCACCAAAGCGAGCAUUCAACGCGUGACGACCGCCUCGUCGGAGGAUAGCGGUGGCCGUGCGAGCGGACGAGGAAGUGGCACCGGCGGCGGUCGGCAGCCGGCGCCGCUCCUUGCCACCCUUGACAGCUGCGUAGGCAGGUGCGCAAGCGCGUGCUUUCGCCUUUCGGACGUGUGCGACCGUGUGCUGCAGCCGCACACGUCCCCAGCCGCCUUCGGCAUCACUGAGGCAGCCCCUCAUGAGCUCUCAAGCGACAGCGGCAACGUCGUCGCAUCGUCGUUGGAAACACUGCCGGUUCCUGCAUCGUCGUCCAUGUCCUCCUCCUCGCGCCCCUCGCUGACGACGAGCGCCACCCAGCUGAUGCGACAGCUGUCGUAUCGAUGCAGCCACGCUCGUCUAGCGGCAGCUCUUCGGCGCCGAGCUGGGUGGAGCCGCUCUUAUCACAACGGUCGCGAUGGGCAGGGCGAGCCUCUGGAUACGACGUCGAGGACAGCAACGCAGGUAGCGCCGUACGACGUGGAUGCGGAGGACCUUGAUGCUGUGACGACGAGCGGCGCGUCCAGCCGCAGCGGCAGCAACCACCGCGGAGUCAGUCAUACAAGCGAGGCCUCGUGCCAUCUUGAGGCGAGUGUGCCUCCCGCUGAGGGGGAUGUGGGCGACGACGCUGAUGCUGCGCCGUCAGACGAUGAGAGUCUCGCCAGGUGUGUGCAGCAGGCGAGCAUAGCCUCUGCCGCGGGUGUAGAGCGCUGUGAGGCGGUGGAAGGGCCCUCAAAUGCGGAGGCGUUGCUGCCACCAGCGACGCUGUCCUCGGCUUGCUACUCGUGUGAGUCGCACCUGUCCUUCAUCCUGUGCUCGUUGCGCGAGGCGGCGGAGGAGCAACCUGUCGUGCCGGACCUGAUUGGCUCUGACGGUGCCGAUGGAGAAGGGCCAGCAAGCACACAGUGGGCAUCAGCCGUAUCGGACACGCCAUGUGGUGCAUUCGGCGACGCGCUCACCGGAGACGGCUGCGCCACUGCCGAGUCUCAUCACCCCGUCCGCAACGACCUUGUGACUACAAACAAUAUAUCCCUCAGCGCCCUCUCCGCCCGCGCUGAGCUGCAGGUGCUUCCUCCACGAGAGCCAGCGGUGACCCUGACGCGUGCGAGAGGAUCACCAGCUGCGGAGGAGGCAGGUAGGACGGCAACCGCCGACGCACACACGACCGCAGCGAAAUAUCCAGUGCUGGAUAGCGACGCAACUUGCAACGCAUCGCAGCAUCAUCAGCGCCUCAGCCCCGUUGCGCUUACACACGAGAGCGCAACACAGCCGCGACAAAGCAGGGAGACAGAUACCUUGCUCGCGACAACUGGUGCCUCUGCCGCCCCAGGGGACGCCCCGGAGGCAUGUGCACUACUGGAGAGACGACUCGCAGACGCACAACGCCGCCUCAACGAUGCGCUGCAAGAGGCGCUGCAGUCCUACAACGCCGAGGUGAAGGCCGUCCGUCAGGCAACAGCCGUGCCACUCACGGACACUGCGAUAGUAAACAAGUGGGUACCCCUGCGUGCUGUUCUGCAGCCCAUACCGUUCUCACCACGAGCAUCGAGCGCGUGUGCCCGCAGCGCUGCAGCAGCGGAGCUCGGCACACCAGCGGAGCGUGUUGUCUGGGCGCUAGGUGCCGAGGGCGACAUCGACAGCGGCGAGACACACUGGUGCUCUUUCCCCGCUCCUAACGCGUCCAUGUCUGCUGGUGCUGACACGGAGGUGUUCGCUGCCUGCUCUCCUGCUACGGGAGCCGCGCUUGAUUGUGUGUGCGCUGAUGAUAGGAAGGCCCUGGCAGCCAUGGCUACCACUGCCACCUCUGCGCGCACGACAAUGCGUUCCACAGCCGCGCCGGUAGCCCCGAGCUGCCGCUCUGCGGUGGCACCAGCCGCCACGGUCGAGGGCGUCGGGCUCGCCAGCACAGGAUCUCUGGACGCUCCGACCGCAGCGGAGUUGAUGGAGUCUCGUUCAAGCAGGGACAAGAAAAGCGAAGAGGAUGGCAGCGUCAGCUGCGAAAGCGUUGGCCGCUUGACGGCCGGCACGCAGUGCCUCUCCACGUACGUCAACAUGGGUGACGCAGGCAAGGCAGCGGAGAUUGCGGCGGCGGCUCCCAUCGACAAGUUCGCAGCGGAGGGGCGUGACGAUAGCACGGCUGCUUUUCUCUGGGUAUCUCAAGACUCCCCGUCGACGAUGCGGCAAAGCCCAUACGCAGAUGCCGCUGCGGCGGACUCCGAUAGGAAAGAGAUUGCAUCGACCAGCGACGAGUGGUGGGCGGCGUACGGCAUCGACGCGCUGGAAUGCACCCAGAACAGUGCCGACGGCGGUGCCGGCGGACGGGCUGCCUCGCCCAGCACCAACGCCGUGCAUCCUCAUACUACCUCCAAUGGUAGCGGUGCGGUGUCGACUUCUCGAGUCUGCACCCCGUCACCCGCGCCAGUGGAGGUGAUCGAGCUCACCUCCGGCACCGAUGACGAGGAUGCCGACUCUCGCGGCGGGGGCGGCGACAACAACAACGAGCACGACGCGCGCAAUCGCCCACCAGAUGCAUCUUCUUAUCGCCCCCCGCGAGCCGCUCCCUCACUGCCGCUGCGAACCUCGCCGCCACCCCGCGAUGACCUUGGCGGGGGUAUCACGAUCCCUCCGCGCACUGGAUCUACGGCGCCGAUGCACUCAUGGCGGCCGUUGGUCUUGGACAGGCGCCUGCACGCGGAUGCGUGGACGCACAUGACGAACGCCGAACUACGCCAGCUCUGCUUUGAGUUCGGCUUGAUGGCUCCGUCACCGACCAAAGGGGACACCACGUCACCUUUUCCUGCAGCUGCAGCUGACUCUCCGCCUGUCCUUGCGCGUCGUGGCCGGUCAGCUCCAUUGCCGUCGUUGGCAGCAGCCUCUCCAGCAUGUGCGCGGAAGUCGGCUGUGUCGCAUGAGUCUUCUCCGGAGCGGGAUCUGUUUGGGCUGCCGACGCUGACGACGGCGGUCCCCGCUGCGUGCAGGGAGCCCUCACACACGGCAGCGAAAACCGGCGAUGGUGCGCCACCGCCGCCGGAGCCGUCGUCACCCGUUUGCGCUUUCACGCAACCCGAGAACGGUUCUGGCGGCGCCAGAGCUGCUGUUGCUGCUGCGACGGCGGGGGCAGCAAGUGAGCAUGUGGAUAUCCGGCAGCGGUACCAACGACGCGCUACCUUGCUGGAGCGCGAGUCUUUGUUGGAGGCGCUGCGGCUACUUGCUACACGGCUCCGCUUUCGACACACUGUUGCACCAUUCUUUCUGCACCGCGUGGCGCGGCUUAGCGGACUGCCCUACAAGCGCAUGCGUGCCGCCGACCUCUUGGACGAAGGCGCUGUACUCACCCGCGAUGACCUCAAGCAGACGCGACGCCGCUACAAGGCUGAGGAACAGGCGGAGGUAGAGCGCUGCAUUGUAUCCGCCCUCGUGGCCGAGGCGGCCGAGGCGAUGGAGCAGGAUGCACAGCGCGUCGCGUCUCGAUGGGCGGUGCUCCCUUUGUUCGCGGCGGAGGGCGGAAACAGCACCAAGAUGAAAGCGACACCUGCCCGCAGCGCACUCGCGUCCCUCCCAGACGGCGGGGUGCGGUGCUGCUACGACCAGAUCCUUCUAAGAGAGCCUGUGAACGUUUUUGCCGCGGUGGCGGCAGUCCAGAGAUCCUUCCCGCAUAUCGCACAUACCCGUGUGCAGCAGCUUCUCGCUGCGAAUGAGGUGAUUGCGGAGGCGGUCGUCACGGUUUCGGGCCGCUCGCCUUCGCCGCUACCGCAGCUAUCCACAACAGCGCAGCGCGAGGGAGGACAGGCGAUCGCAGUGCCUCGGCCCUCAGGUGAGUUGACGGACGGCUCGACGCCCUCAAUGCAAGAGACGCUCGGCGGCGGCAUUUCGCUCCACCGCGGCAGCGGCGCCGUCCACUCGUUGGCCACAACGACGCCUCUCUCGCAGGAGGAGCGGCAGCGUGCGAAUGCGCGGCACUACUUCGCGCAGCGAGGUUACAUGACUCGCCGGCAGCCCGGUGGCUGGGGUCGUGGCCGCCGCUGAGCAUCAGGGCAAGAAAAGGAUCUCUGAGUGUAGGCAUGCCUGCGUGUGCGUUUGAGUCUACGUUGGUUGCUGCGUGGGCGCUGACGACCCUGAAACUCUUCCACGACGCGCCCUGUGCUGCGGUCUUUCGCCGAUGCUCUCUCUCUCUC